ACUCCUACGGGAGGCAGCAGUGGGAAUCUUGCACAAUGGGCGAAAGCCUGAUGCAGCCAUGCCGCGUGAAUGAUGAAGGCCUUAGGGUUGUAAAAUUCUUUCGCCAGGGAUGAUAAUGACAGUACCUGGUAAAGAAGCCCGGCUAAGCUUACGUGCCAGCAGCCGCGGUAAUACGAAGGGGCGUAGCGUUGUUCGGAAUUACUGGGCGUAAAGCGCGCGUAGCGGGCUGUUAAAGCCAGAUGUGAAAGCCCGGGGCUCAACUCCGGAACUGCAUUUGGAACUGGCAGCCUAGAGGCCAGGAGAGGUUAGUGGAAUACCGAGUGUAGAGGUGAAAUUCGUAGAUAUUCGGUGGAACACCAGUGGCGAAGGCGACUAACUGGACUGGUACUGACGCUGAGGCGCGAAAGUGUGGGGAGCAAACAGGAUUAGAUACCCUGGUAGGCUCUGC
rnacentral:rRNA from 1 species